rnacentral:rRNA from 1 species
UACGAAGGGUGCAAGCGUUACUCGGAAUUACUGGGCGUAAAGGGUGCGUAGGUGGUUGUUUAAGUCUGUUGUGAAAGCCCCGGGCUCAACCUGGGAAUGGCAAUGGAUACUGGACAGCUAGAGUGCGGUAGAGGGUAGUGGAUUCCCGGUGUAGCAGUGAAAUGCGUAGAGAUCGGGGAGGAACACCAGUGGCGAAGGCGGCUACCUGGACCAGCACUGACACUGAAGCACGAAAGCGUGGGGAGCAAACAGG